UUUCAAAAACAAAAUCUAGAAUUAAAAAUUAAUUUCAAAUUUUAAAAAUAUAUUUAAAUAAAAUUUUAAUUUAAUUUAAAUAAAAAAAAUAUAAUUGAGAUAUUUUCAUAAAGUGUAUUCUUUUCGCCUGAAUUUAACUUCCAAUUGGGCCCUAAACCGGAUUGAAAAAUAGAAUAAUUAAAAGUUUUUCAUUUAUCCGGAAAUCGGAAUCUGAAUGGAACUCCCUUAUAUCAAACACCAAUAAAUGGAUUUGUCCAAUCCGAUUUUAAUUCCUGAAUGAAAACGGAGUGAACCAAACACGACCUAAGAGUCUAAUUCAAUUAAA
rnacentral:lncRNA from 1 species